UUCACCAAGGAGUAUAAUUUUGAGCUGCUUUUUUUUAUUUUAAUUUAUUUUUUUUUUUUUUACUUCUAUGAUUCUUAUAGUUUAAAGAAGGAAGCUUACCACUGUUUACAAUACCACAGCUACUCUGGAAGGUCUACAAGCUGUUGCAGUUGGCUAUCUGUAGGAGGUCCUCAAGCUGCUCAUGAAGAAUUUAGGCAAUCAGUUCACUCCAAACUGAAUUCUUUCCACAGUGAAGAAGAGGGAAAGCAGACAAAACUAAACCAGAACCUUCUUCAUCUAUAUAAAUUAAAUGUAUGACUCUUAGAUGUGGAUGAGUAGC